GAGGGUACAGCUCAGUGGUAGAGUGUAUGCUUAGUACCCAUGAGGUCCUGGGUUCAAUCCCCAGUACCUUCA
rnacentral:tRNA from 1 species